UCCGAAAAAUAGUUGCUUUUCAAACAAAACAUAUAUAAAGCCAAUAUCUGAAUUCCGAAAAGCCGAAACCGCCUUAUUCCCUCCCGCCGACGAUCGCCAUCUUUCUCUCUCUUCAAUCGCAGCCACCGCAAACACCGUCGCCUCUCUCUCUCUCUCUUCCCCGGCCGAGUCGACUCAGCGAUUCGCAAUGUUCUUCCUCCGAGUCCACUCAGUGGACACCAACCACCCCGUCAGCCUCGAAGACGCCGAGUUCACCACCAUCUACGCCGCCAAGGUCGCCGCCGCCGCCCAAUCAAAACCUAGGUUCAGCGAGCGGAGAGGAAUCGCGCACCUCUUUCGAACACGAGGAAACUCGUCGCUGCCGAGCCACGGCGCCGAGUCCACUCUCCUCUUCGUCGUCGCCGUCCCCAACUACCUCUCCUUCAACGACUUCAUCCGCUUCUGCGAGCCCCGCCUCGACCAUGUCGCCGACCUCGUCUUCAUCAGAAACGAUGCCAUGGAAGAUCGGUACAGUGUUGUGAUUAGGCUUAUGGAUGAGAUGAAGACAGAUACAUUUUAUGGCAGUUUCAAUGGGAAGAAGUAUUCGCCGGGCGAGGCUGAGGUGUGCCAUAUACUGUUUCUGGCUUCAGUGGACUACACAGAUUCAGCUGAAAUAGCUGGGACUCCUCCAGAUUUAUGUACCGAACUGCCUAGUUGCCCAGUUUGCCUUGAGAGAUUGGAUGCGGACACAAGUGGAAUAGCAACUACACUAUGCGACCAUUCAUUUCAAUGUCCUUGUAUCUCAAAAUGGACUUAUUUGUCAUGCCAGGUUUGCCGAUUGUGUCAACAGCAGGAUGACAAUCCAGCUUGCUCUGUCUGUGGAAUAUUGGAAAAUCCUUGGGUUUGUGUAAUAUGUGGUUUUGUAGGGUGUGGAAGAUAUAAAGAAGGCCAUGCUGUUAGGCACUCGGAGGAUACACAGCAUUGCUAUUCUCUUGACUUGAAGAGCCAGCAGAUCUGGGAUUAUGUUGGUGAUGCUUAUGUUCACCGCCUGAACCAAUCAAAAGUUGAUGGCAAGCUAAUAACGGAUGUCAAUUCUCACUGUCGAGAGUUGGGAGGAGAUUGUGACAGUUGUGAAUGUAGUGAGGAUUCUGGAAUUAGUGGAGCCCUCUAUAGUAGCAAAGUUGAAACUAUUGUUGACGAGUAUAAUCGACUUCUUGCAAGUCAGCUUGAGACUCAAAGACAGUACUAUGAAUCUCUACUGAUGGAGGCCAAAAGUAAAGCUGAAAGUUCAAUUUCAGAAGCAUUGGAGAAGGCUGUAAAUUUGAAGAUACAGGAUAUUCAAAGUAAACUGGAGAAAUCUCUUGAGGAAAAAAAGGCUGUUGCACACAUUCACCAAACUCUCAUCGAGGAGCAACAAACCUUGAGUGCAAAAUAUAAGGAAAUUGAAGAGAGGGAAGCUACAACAAUGAGGUUAAGAGACGAGAAGAUACUUGAUCUGGAAGAACAGAUCAGAGAUCUUACUGUCUAUAUUGGAGCCCAAAAAACACUGAAUGACAUGACGAACUCCGAUGAUAUCAAAGGGGGAUCACUCUUACCUGUACCAUCAAAGCAAUCUUCUUCGGCCAAAAAUAGAAGACAAACAAAAUCUAGCAGAAGACGGAAUUAGAUAGUUUGAGAAGAGAAUCAGCAUCUCGUUUGGUCACGGCUUUUGGAUGCUGAAGCAUUUCAGCAUCUUAUGAUUCUUAUCAGAUAGGAACUGAUGUUGUUAUUCUAAAUGGGAUGUACAGAUAUAACCUGAACAAUGUUGGGAUUCGAAAAUCAAAAGUUUUAAAUGUAGGGGUUCCCCAUUAGUCGACUAAUUCCAGGCAAUAGUAGAUUAGACUAGCUUUCUACAAUGGCAGACAACUUACUACUGGCAAGAACUAGUGUGCUGCACAUGGAGGUCUGCCUGUCUAUUGCAAUUAA